UGGCGCACGGGUGCGUAACGCGUAACCAACCUACCCGAAUCUGGGGGAUAGCCCGCCGAAAGGCGGAUUAAUACCGCAUAACCCAACAGCCCGGCAUCGGGUAAUUGGUAAAGAUUUAUUGGUUCAGGAUGAGGUUGCGUGCCAUUAGCUAGUUGGCGGGGUAAAGGCUCACCAAGGCGACGAUGGCUAGGGGACCUGAGAGGGUGAUCCCCCACACUGGCACUGAGAUACGGGCCAGACUCCUACGGGAGGCAGCAGUAGGGAAUAUUGGGCAAUGGACGAGAGUCUGACCCAGCCAUGCCGCGUGCAGGAUGAAGGCUUUCUGAGUCGUAAACUGCCUUUACCAGGGAAGAAAAAAGGGGAUGCGUCCUCUACUGACGGUACCUGGUGAAUAAGCACCGGCUAACUCCGUGCCAGCAGCCGCGGUAAUACGGAGGGUGCAAGCGUUGUCCGGAUUUAUUGGGUUUAAAGGGUGCGUAGGCGGCUGAUUAAGUCUGGGGUGAAAGCCCGUUGCUCAACAACGGAACUGCCCUGGAAAC
rnacentral:rRNA from 1 species